CUAUUAGCUCAGUUGGUU
rnacentral:siRNA from 1 species